rnacentral:lncRNA from 1 species
AGCGGAGGAUGCCGACCCGAGACCCGAGCCGGUGCCCAAUGCGGCUGGGCGGAGACUAAGCCCUCUGACCCGCAAUUGGCUACCCCUGCUGCCCGCUGAUUGGCUUCACAGGCCGCAGCCAAUUUCUGCCCUCACAGAGGGCAGACCCCCGCCCCCUUGGGAUUUAGUCUGUUUUACAGUAAGUUAGAAGGUGUUUCUUUUUGCUUUGUUUUGAUUUUUCGUGACAGGAUUUCUGCGUGUAGCCUUGACUAUCCUGGAACUCCCUCUGUAGAUACGCCUGCCUCUCCCUCC